rnacentral:rRNA from 1 species
UACAGAGGUCUCAAGCGUUGUUCGGAUUCAUUGGGCGUAAAGGGUGCGUAGGCGGCGCGGUAAGUCGGGUGUGAAAUCUCGGAGCUUAACUCCGAAACUGCAUUCGAUACUGCCGUGCUUUGAGGACUGGAGAGGAGACUGGAAUUUACGGUGUAGCGGUGAAAUGCGUAGAUAUCGUAAGGAAGACCAGUGGCGAAGGCGGGUCUCUGGGCCGUAACUGACGCUGAGGAGCGAAAGCGUGGGGAGCGAACAGG